GCCCCGCGCAGCCCCCGGACCCCACGCAGCUCCGGGACCCCGCGCAUCCCCCCGCCCCGCGCAGCCCCGGUUCCCCGAGCUCAGCCUCCUCUAGAGAAGGGGGAGCAGGGUCGCCGUCCACUGGUAACGCCUGAUGCGCAGGGUUACCGCUCUCUCCUGGCGGGGGACAGUCCGGUGGGCACCUCUGUGUCCCCCACAAGAAGCAAAUCCCCAAAUCCAGCCAUUCCCCGACCACCACCGCGAAAAUCACCAGUAAAAUGACCAAAAGCUCUGAGCGUGAUGCUACUGCGUCAAGAGGUAUUUGAAGACGAAUUGGCAUCUAACCGAGACUUUCUCCUAAGAGGAAGGACCAGGAUGGAAACGGAAUUACUGAGGCAGGAGGAUCUUCACUCAUGAGUCAAUAUUAUUCAAGGAGGUUUUCCCAAGUCACCAAAAAUCCUGUCCUGAAUCACCAGCAAUAGUGGGCUUUCCGUGUUUGCAGAAGUGCUGCCUCUAGAGAUGAGCAGGCUCUGACUAGCGCAGUAUUUGCAACUGUGCUACCUAAAGAGGCUUGUGAAGGUCCUGUGCAGUGGGGCUCAUCCUUGUUUAUGCUCUUGGGAGCCUGUGAUGACCACCAUAGAAACAAGCCUAGAAUAGCUUGCUGGAUGAUGAAGGACUCACAGCCAACAACCAGCCAACUGCCACAUGUCUGAGUGAGACCACUGACCUCCAGCUGCCACAGAUGCCUGCCUGAGUCCAGCUGAGAUCAGCGGAAGAACUACCCAGCUGAGCCUUGCCCAAUUUGCUGACUUACAGAUCCCCUGCCAAAUAAACUGGUGUUGUUUUAAGCCACUAAGAUUUGCGGUGGUUUGCUAUGCAUCAACAGACAGACGUGGUGACACCACUGAUGAGGAGUCUGCAUGGCCUGAACUUUCCCUGGCAGCCCUGGCAUCGUGCCCUGUUGGGUCCUCACCUCAAGAAGAUUCUACAGCAGAUUCUGGCAGGCCAGGGGCUACAGGAAGGAGCCGGUCUAGUAAGCAACCUUUUAUUUAGUGCCUGUUGUGUACAAACCCUGUACUUACCCUAGAGACAUUGGGGAACAUUGCAGACCACAAUCCCUGUCCUGGGGGGUUUGCAAGGCUUACCAGCAAAGUUUUGCAAACAAACACUCUAGGGGACAAGAGGAAAAUAGGGGUUAGAAUAUAGUUAAGGCUUCUGGUCUUCUGACCAGCUGGGCCACCUCGUCCAUUCUUUGUCAUCCAAGAGGGUGGGAAGGAGCUCAUCCCUGAGUUGAACGUCUAGGGUUAACUCGGCGCCAAACACUUGUUCUGAACCGUCCGAUCUAUGUCUCAUGCUAAGAAGACAGGUACUGUCUGCCAAUAUAUUGCCCUCUGGCAAACCACCUGGUUUCAUUCCAACCUGUCAAUGAAAUAGACUGUAGAAGAGCGGCCAUAACUUGGUCCAUCUGCCUUCCGCUGCCACCUGGUCUGUGCUUUGCUCUCGGCUGACAUUGAGGUGGGAAAGCAGCCCGCCCCUGCACUUACCAGGCUUCGUGGAGGCUUUCAGUACUGCUGCGGCUUUGAAGACCUCACUGGUAUUUCAGGCAGCUGGACAAUCGGCAAGCUGUUGGGAGCCAAGGAAUCGUCACAUUACCAAUCAUGUACCUUUAAGACAACUCUCUGGGUGACUCUCCUGCCCCUAUUUGCUUUCCUUCUCUGGAGUAAGUCAGCCAGUUAUUAAGGUGUUUAAAAAUAAAACUGGGGAGGAAAAUCAAAGAGUGGCGAGCCUCUACCCUCCCCAGCAUGUGGAGCAACUUUCAACUCAGUUGAAAAGGCAUCUCCAGUUGCCUGGGCUUCCCUUAGAGGUUUCAGGUCCCGAGUGUCAGCUCGAACCUGCUUAGCUUGUGAGAUGUGAUGAAAUCACAAACCACGGCAGUGUAGCUGCGAGCCAUCCUUUUUUAUCUCUUUUCAUUUAUGUAGCCUGACAUUGAGUAAUAAUAAUAAUUAGACACAGUUUAAGCUUUGAGGCACCUAUACCAGCAGGCCUCUCGACACCUCAUCCACAGCAGCCCAGGCUGACAAAAAUAAAGCUAAUUAUAUUGUGGUUAACUAUUUUCAAAGAAAAAAAUUAACAAAACCACUCACCCACUGUCCCCACCUCUGAUGAAAGCAGUGGAUGAAAUAUUCCACCCCAUAGUCCAUUUGCCCAGGACCAACUUAAAGCAAGGUACUCUCGUCUUAAAUAUGCCACCCUGGCACAAAAUAUUGAAACAUUGUCCUAAGUCUCUAUUUUCACAUCCCCUUAAAAAAAAAAAAAAGCCUGUGAAAAAAGCCUCUAGGGACCCAAUUUUUCCAUUUAUAUUCAUAGCCCAGGGGCCAGUUCUAUUUAUUUAUUUAUAUGCACAUAUAGUUAGAAGUGCUUAGGUGCUUUUGAUUGAUGCUUUAAACUUUCAAAAGUUUGAGAAGGUUUUAGAUGUGGAAACUCCAAAACAGCUUAAUCUGAGAAAUUCAACCUGCAGAUACCAAUGAAAACAAAACAAAACAAAUCUCUAGAGAGACUGGGAAAGAAAGGUUGACUUGAACUUGUUGUUAGAAACCUCGCCUCGUGUUACAGGUUCUCUACUGACUUGCGAGAUAACGUUGGCCAAGUCCCAACAGCCCCAGACACACAGGAAAGCCCUAAAGCUUUUGAUGCAACUUCUCCAGACAGUAUUUUCCGUUCCAAUUCUGGCUGCCCAAGCAAAAAUGUCAGCGUUCUCAUUAAAGGAAACUAAGCGAAUCUCUAGCAGAGAUUUUUGGCUCAGCUUUUCUCUGAACUGCACAACUGGGGCAAUAUUCAUGGCCACUCCUUUCUCCAGUCACUUUUCUCCUGUCUGCAUUAGGAAACCCAGUCUGAUGAGCCUAAGAAGAAAAUGAUUCUUAAUGACUGUGAUUUAUAGUGGCAGAUAUAUAUAUAU